AAAAAAGGUAAGCUACUAAGAGCGAAUGGUGGAUGCCUUGACUGGUAAAGGCGAUGAAGGACGUACUAGACUGCGAUAAGCUACGGGGAGCUGUCAAGAAGCUUUGAUCCGUAGAUUUCCGAAUGGGGCAACCCAAUGUAUAGAGAUAUACAUUACCUAUAUAGGAGCGAACGAGGGGAAUUGAAACAUCUUAGUACCCUCAGGAAAAGAAAUCAAUAGAGAUUGCGUCAGUAGCGGCGAGCGAAAGCGCAAGAGGGCAAACCCAGUGCUUGCACUGGGGGUUGUAGGACUGCAAUGUGCAAGAGGUGAGUUUAGCAGAACAUUCUGGAAAGUAUAGCCAUAGAGGGUGAUAGUCCCGUAUGCGAAAAACAAACCUUAGCUAGCAGUAUCCUGAGUAGGGCGGGACACGAGGAAUCCUGUCUGAAUCCGGGUCGACCACGAUCCAACCCUAAAUACUAAUACCAGAUCGAUAGUGUACAAGUACCGUGAGGGAAAGGUGAAAAGAACUGAGGUGAUCAGAGUGAAAUAGAACCUGAAACCAUUUGCUUACAAUCAUUCAGAGCCCUAUGUAGCAAUACAGGGUGAUGGACUGCCUUUUGCAUAAUGAGCCUGCGAGUUGUGGUGUCUGGCAAGGUUAAGCAAACGCGAAGCCGUAGCGAAAGCGAGUCUGAAUAGGGCGCUUAGUCAGAUGCUGCAGACCCGAAACGAAGUGAUCUAUCCAUGAGCAAGUUGAAGCUAGUGUAAGAACUAGUGGAGGACUGAACCCAUAGGCGUUGAAAAGCCCCGGGAUGACUUGUGGAUAGGGGUGAAAGGCCAAUCAAACUUCGUGAUAGCUGGUUCUCUCCGAAAUAUAUUUAGGUAUAGCGUUGUGUCGUAAUAUAAGGGGGUAGAGCACUGAAUGGGCUAGGGCAUACACCAAUGUACCAAACCCUAUCAAACUCCGAAUACCUUAUAUGUAAUCACAGCAGUCAGGCGGCGAGUGAUAAAAUCCGUCGUCAAGAGGGAAACAACCCAGACUACCAGCUAAGGUCCCUAAAUCUUACUUAAGUGGAAAACGAUGUGAAGUUACUUAAACAACCAGGAGGUUGGCUUAGAAGCAGCCAUCCUUUAAAGAAAGCGUAAUAGCUCACUGGUCUAGUGAUUUUGCGCGGAAAAUAUAACGGGGCUAAAGU
rnacentral:rRNA from 1 species